GCCACUGUGGUGUAGUGGUUUGAGCAUUGGACUGUGACUCUGGAGACCAGGGUUUGAAUCCAUGCUUAGCCA